rnacentral:rRNA from 1 species
UAGGGAAUCUUCGGCAAUGGACGAAAGUCUGACCGAGCAACGCCGCGUGAGUGAAGGAGGUUUUCGGAUCGUAAAACUCUGUUGUUAGAGAAGAACAAGGGUGAGAGUAACUGUUCACCCCUUGACGGUAUCUAACCAGAAAGCCACGGCUAACUACGUGCCAG